UACGUAGGGUGCGAGCGUUGUCCGGAAUUAUUGGGCGUAAAGGGCUCGUAGGCGGUUUGUCGCGUCGGGAGUGAAAUCCACUGGCUUAACUGGUGGCUUGCUUUCGAUACGGGCAGACUGGAGGUAUGCAGGGGAGAACGGAAUUCCUGGUGUAGCGGUGAAAUGCGCAGAUAUCAGGAGGAACACCAGAGGCGAAGGCGGAUUGCUGGGCUGAUACUGACGCUGAGGCGCGAAAGCUAGGGUAGCAAACGGG
rnacentral:rRNA from 1 species